UCACGCGUCAAGAAACGUUAAAUAAUUUAGUUAGGAGUUAAUAUCAGUAAUUUUCGUCGCAUAACUCGUGCUCUACGUGAAAUUUUGGUCAGAAAUCAUGUAUCAGAAUGCUUAACGUCGUACCUUGUCCAUGUCUAGCGAUCCAUUUGCGGACUUCACUAGAAAUCAUGCCCGCAACGUUAGUAGAAGGAACCGCUACAGUAAAACCUAUGUCAUGUGAUCUGCAUGUGUCCUGUGAGGGAACAAUUUGAUUCCGAUAUGACGAAGUCUGUCUCGUUUAAAUAAUCUGUAAAGUUUUUUUUUUUCCUCCCCUUUUUUUCCACGUCACCGUGCACGCAAACUCGAGUCGGUAUAAAACGACGGUCCAUCAGUGAAGAGCGAGUUUACUCGUUUCAGGUGUGCAGAAUUCACCCGAUGUUCGGAUUUCAGCUCUUGAAUUUGAUUUUUUUCACCGGCCAUGUGUCGUGCGGUGGUAACACACCUCCAAGAGGAAGUUAUUCCGAAGGUUAUGUCAGUGCGCCUAGGAAGAUUGUCAAUAGUUCAAUCUGGCGGGCUCCUUCCUCUAGAAAAGAUGGACCCCUCUGCGAAGCCUCACUAGCGUCAGAUGGGUCCCAGGAAGCCCACGUGCUCUGCCAUUCCGCCUGCUUGUCCAUCGCGCUCCAAGCUGACGUCAUUCGGGAUCAUUACUCGGCGCACAGCGUCAUGGCUAGAUAUACCGCCGAUCAGUGCUCCAGCUUCACCGAGGGCCGGUGUUUCAACGUCACCAACUGGAAGGGGAUCAGCAUCUCCGCCUGUUGGUGUAGGGCGGCUAAGAAAAAUGGCGCCCCGCUCUCGCCUGUCGCAAGGGCAUGAACUUGGGGCGAAACCUCGAAAACGCCAAGAUUAUGGCCGGCAACGUCUGGGACGUCAACAUCAAGCCGGCUUUGCCGUCACUUCCCAGGCGGUUACUUAAGGCGUGGUCCAGACCAGAGAACCAGAGGCUUCAGCCAAGAGAGUGAGGAAGAUUGGCAGUGCGGGAUUAUACUGCCGUGCUAAGAAGAACGCCGUACACAGAAAAAAAUAGAUGGUGCUGACCACAGAACCUUCUGUUCACAGGGCUCCUGCAGUUUCUUUGUUACACUUACAGAAUUUUUCUGUUGUGAGAAUAGAACUUCGGUCGUGGAAACAGAGUACUCUGUCCUCAUUACGGAAGCUUCUGUGAAUGUUACAAAAGAGGUGCAGGAGCCCUGUGAACAGAGAUAUUUUUUUCAGUGUAUGA
rnacentral:lncRNA from 1 species